rnacentral:tRNA from 5 species
ACCGGGGUGGCGAAACGGCAUACGCGUAUGGUUUAGGACCAUAUGGGGUAAAACCCGUGGAGGUUCAAGUCCUCUCCCCGGUA